ACUCACUCUGCCGGGAGAGCCCAGCAUAGGUUGCGUUCAAACACCGGCAGCUCAUCACGCCGGUGACAGCCAGUGGCCAGGCGGUACAGGUAGAUCCGGGACGUGGCUGCGUGGCGAGCAUGGAAGUCGCUGGGCACUCGGAAGGCCCGCAGGACCCUAUGGCGGCAGGGCGACCCUUGACGAGGUGGAGACAGACGUGGUGGAGAUUGAGGCCAAACUGGACAAGCUGGUGAAGCUGUGCAGUGGCAUGGUGGAAGCCGGCAAGGCCUACGUCAGCACCAGCAGGCUGUUCGUGAGCGGCGUCCGCGACCUGUCCCAGCAGUGCCAGGGCGACACCGUCAUCUCGGAAUGUCUGCAGAGGUUCGCUGACAGCUUACAGGAGGUGGUAAACUACCACAUGAUCCUGUUUGACCAGGCCCAGAGGUCCGUGCGGCAGCAGCUCCAGAACUUUGUCAAAGAGGAUGUGCGGAAGUUCAAGGAGACAAAGAAGCAGUUUGACAAGGUGCGGGAGGACCUGGAGCUGUCCCUGGUGAGGAACGCCCAGGCCCCGAGGCACCGGCCCCACGAGGUGGAGGAAGCCACCGGGGCCCUCACCCUCACCAGGAAGUGCUUCCGCCACCUGGCACUGGACUAUGUGCUCCAGAUCAAUGUUCUGCAGGCCAAGAAGAAGUUUGAGAUCCUGGACUCUAUGCUGUCCUUCAUGCACGCCCAGUCCAGCUUCUUCCAGCAGGGCUACAGCCUCCUGCACCAGCUGGACCCCUACAUGAAGAAGCUGGCGGCCGAGGUGAGCCUUUGGGAGGGGUGGGGCUGGGCCAGGCCUCCGUGACCUUCCCUAAUGCCGCCCCCAACAGCUGGACCAGCUGGUGAUCGACUCUGCGGUGGAGAAGCGUGAGAUGGAGCGAAAGCACGCCGCCAUCCAGCAGCGGGUGAGGCCGCGCAACCGGCUCCCUGCACGCCGGGCGCCUGGGAGGCCCCUGCGUCCUCACCCCAUGCCCGGCACGCCCUCCCCGCCCCUUCCUCCUGCCUGUCCCCCACCUGCCCUGCCCACACCCUCUCUAGGGGACCAAGGCUGCUCCCUUUGAUGCGUGCAGUGGAAGGGCACGUGCGGGUGGGGCCGCUGCUGGGAUCUCCUUUUGAGGCCGUGGUCACCUCUGCGGCCUCAGUCACUGGCUCCUUGCGGGGCCUUUGCUUGCCUGUGGGACAGCAGCCCCGGCCACCACCCAGGGCAGAGGUUGGCUGCAAGCAGGAGUGGCUAUUUUGGGAUAGGGGAGAGCCCCCCAGGAGUUGGGGACGGGUCCGCCAGUCACCAGGAGUUGGGGACGGGUCCGCCAGUCACCAGGAGUUGGCAGCCGUCACUCACUGGCUCUCUCCCCCUACCCCCUCCUGCUCCGGCCCUUCAGACGCUGCUGCAGGUAAGUGAGCACGGGCCCUGGGCGGGCUGUGGGUCGGGGGAGACCAGAUGGGGUGGUGCCUUUCCCUCCUCUACCCCAAGGGCACUUCAGCACCAAGGACACCUCCCACCAGUCUCGGCUCCUGUUGCUGCGGCUGUGAGAGAGGCUGGCUCCGGCCAGACCCCCACAUCCCCCGUAGGGGUGGCGGCAGCUGUCCCUUCCCAUCCCACGUGGCCUGGGGAGCAGGUGGCCGCCCCUCCCCUCUGCUGCCCUGGCCCGCCAGACGGUGGGACACACAGGGCCCUCAGUGACUCCCAGGCCUCCUGAAUGGGGCUCUGUCCGCCCAGCUGGCCACAUGAAUGGGGCACUCAGGAUGCGGAGGGUGGGGGGGCAGCUUCCUUCCUGAUCGCAGCCUGCUUGUCCCUGCAGGGCUGGGGUGGGGCCGGCACUCUCGGGCCCCAGCUGUGAACGUGAGGGGUCUGCCCCACGGGUUGCGGGGCUGGGGGCCUUGCUCAGGUCAGGAAGUGGCUGUGGUGAACAGAGGGUCUCGUCUGAGCGUGUGGCCCGUGGGCCGUGUGGCAGCCUCACACAAGGACCUCACCCCAGCCUGUGCUCCAG
rnacentral:sRNA from 1 species